rnacentral:rRNA from 1 species
AAAGGUUACUUAAUGCAUAUGGUGGAUGCCUUGACUGAAGUAAGCGAUGAAGGACGUAGCAGGUUGCGAUAAGCCUCGGGGAGUUGCCAAGCAAACUUUGAUCCGGGGAUGUCCGAAUGGGGCAACCCAAUCUCACUUAGUGGGAUUAUCCUGAACUGAAUCAAUAGGUUCAGGAAGCACACCCUGGGAAUUGAAACAUCUUAGUACCAGGAGGAAAAGAAAACAAUUGUGAUUCCGCAAGUAGUGGCGAGCGAACGCGGAUCAGCCUAAACCCAUCCUUCGGGAUAGGGGGUUGCGAGAUAAUUGGACUCGUUUGAUCGGGACCAGUCGUAAAUCAUUAGCAAAAUAUUCUGGAAAGUUUAACCAUAGCGGGUAAUAGUCCCGUAUGCGAAAAUCAUUUACGCCAGGUGCAAUUAUUCUCAAGUAGGGCGGGACCGGAGAAAUCCCGUCUGAAUCUGGGAGCACUACACUUCCAAGGCUAAAUAUUACUUCAGAUCGAUAGCGAACUAGUACCGUGAGGGAAAGGUGAAAAGCAUCCCGGUGAGGGAGGUGAAAUAGAACUGAAACCAUGUGCUAACGAAGAGUUGGAGUCCCGUCGCCCUCGGGCGACAGGAUGACAGCGUGCUUUUUGCAGAACGAGCCAACGAGUUAGUUUUAUGCGGCUUGUCUAAGAGGUGAAUCCCUCGGAGACACAGUGAAAGCGAGCCUUAAUAGGGCGUCCGUCGCAUGAACUAGACCCGAAGCCAGACGAGCUACAUAUGAGCAGGGUGAACUCUGGGUAACACCAGGGGGAGGCCCGAACCCACGCGCCGUGCAACACGCGGGGAUGACUUGUGUGUAGGGGAGAAAUUCCAAUCGAGUUUGGCAAUAGCUGGUUCUCUCCGAAAUAGCUUGAGGGCUAGCGUCAUGUAAUUACACUCAAGAGGUAGAGCUACUGAAUGGGAUAUCCGCUUUCGGGUAGGGAUCCCAAUCAAACUCCGAAUUCUUGUAGUGCGUACCAUGGCAGUCAGAAAUCCGGCGCUAAGGUCGGAUCUCAAAAGGGAAACAGCCCAGAUCAUCAUCUAAGGUCCCUAAAUCUAUGUUAAGUGGAAAAGGAAGUGAAGUUUCUUAUACAUCUAGGAGGUUGGCUUAGAAGCAGCCACCCUUUAAAGAGUGCGUAACAGCUCACUAGACUAGAGACUUCGCGCCGAAAAUGUAACGGGGCUAAACAUAGUACCGAAGAUAUGGACUCCGCGCUAUGCGCGGAUUGGUAGGAGAGCGUUCUUUGUGCGUCGAAGCGUAAGGGGUGACCCGUCGUGGAGCGCAAAGAAGUGAGAAUGUUGGCAUGAGUAACCACAAUGUGGGUGAAAUCCCCACACACCGUAAGUCUAAGGUUUCCUGGGCAACGUCGAUCGACCCAGGGUUAGUCGGUCCUAAGGCGAGGCUGAAAAGCGUAGUCGAUGGACAACAGGUUAAUAUUCCUGUACUGCGGUAAUAUUCGAAGGAGUGACGCAUCUUAGUACACUUGGCGCCUUAUUGGAUUGGCGUAGGCAUUUUAAGGACGUUGUGUAGGUAAAUCCGCACAACAUUAAGUCCAAGAAAUGACUGGACUUUUUCGCUUGCGAAGAGGAACUAAGUGGAGCAGGGUGCCAGGAAAAACUUCUAAGGUUAAUAUUAUCGUAUCCGUACCGAAAACCGACACAGGUAGACGAGGCGAGUAGCCUAAGGUGAACGGGAGAACCUUCGUUAAGGAACUCGGCAAAAAAACUAGGCGUAAGUUCGCGAGAUGUCUUGCCGGUGCCACACAUUGGGAAUUCCAAAAAUAAGUUUUGGUGCUUCCGAUGUGUGGUGCUGGCCGCAGUGAAAAUUUCCCAAGCGACUGUUUACCAAAAACACAGGUCUCUGCUAAAGCGCAAGCUGAUGUAUAGGGGCUGACACCUGACCAGUGCUGGACCGUUAAGGGGAUUGGUGCAAGCUAAUUCCUGAAGCAUCCAGUGAACGUCGGCGAUAACUAUAAUCGUCCUAAGGUAGCGAAAUUCCUUGUCGGGUAAAUUCCGACCCGCAUGAAAGGUGUAACGACUUGGGAACUGUCUCAACGAAGGACCCGGUGAAAUCGCAAUGACGGUGAAGAUGCCGUCGACCUACAGCAAGACGAAAAGACCCCGUGGAGCUUUACUACAACUUGGUAUUGAAUUAGGAUUCUAGUUGCCGAGCAUAGGUGGGAGACUUUGAAACUGUGUUUUCGGAUGCAGUGGAGUCAACAGUGGAAUACCACCCUGCUAAAGUUUUAAUUCUAACCCUGGUCUGUUAUGAGUCAACAAGACUUAUAGAUGAUGAAUCAUGAAAUAAUUUUUUCUGAUUUGUUUGACACAGAAGUUGUUUUCAUGGUUCAAAAUCGUAGAAGUCUUAGUGAUUCAUAUCCAGACCGGGAACAGUGCCUGGCGGGUAGUUUGACUGGGGCGGUCGCCUCCUAAAUGGCAACGGAGGCGUUUACAAAGGUUGGCUAAGUCCGGAUGGAAAUCGGGCUGAUAGCGCAAAAGCACAAGCCAGCUUUACUGGAAGACCCAUAAGUCGAUCAGUUACGAAAGUAGAAUUUAGUGAACCGACCAUCCCACGUAGGUGGGUGGAAGAUCAUCAGAUAAAAGUUACCCCGGGGAUAACAGGCUGAUCCCUCCCAAGAGUCCACAUCGACGGAGGGGUUUGGCACCUCGAUGUCGGCUCAUCGCAUCCUGGGGCUGGAGAAGGUCCCAAGGGUUUGGCUGUUCGCCAAUCAAACCGUCGUGAGACAGGUUGGUCUCUAUCUGCUGUAGGCGUGGUUGCUUGAGAGGACUUUUUCCUAGUACGAGAGGACCGGAAAGAACGAACCUCUGGUGUAUCGGUUGUUCCGCCAGGAGCAUUGCCGAGUAGCUAUGUUCGGAAGAGAUAACCGCUGAAAGCAUCUAAGCGGGAAGCUCACCUCGAGAUAAGGCAACAGUUAUACUUCGGUAUAACAGGACAUCCUGGAAGACUACCAGGUUGAUAGGCUUUAGGUAUAAGUUCGGUAACGAAUUUAGCCAAGAAGUACUAAUAUGUUCAUUAAUCUUUCUAA